UGUGUGAGGGGGGACAGGUGAGUGUGUGUGAGGGGGACAGGUGAGUGUGUGUGAGGGGGGACAGGUGAGGGUGUGUGAGGGGGACAGGUGAGUGUGUGUGAGGGGGACAGGUGGGGUGUAUUACUGUGCUGACUAUCUCUCCCCUGGCCAAGGCGGCUAACAGGUGAGUCAGCACACAGGUGAUGCGUUCUCCUCCAAUGACAGCAGGGGAAACUUCCACAUUCUAAAGACUUAUUUAUUUUUUAAAGAAUCAGAAGAAUGUUGGGAUGUGGAGCCACUCUUUCUGAAACUUGCACAGCGCGAAUGGUGGCUUAGCGGUUCUGCUUGAACACGUAAACGCUUGCAAACGUGUUUUAUACGAACUUUCCAGGAGAGCAGAUCCGCUAAAACACACAUCCAGGUGUUUCUCUGAAUGUUCAGUGGAGCUUGUAGACGACGUGUAAGGAACGUGAGCAGAUUCAUAAACUGUGAAUACACCUAUUUCUUAUUGUUAAAGUAGAACAAAGGACACAUAUAAACACUAUUUUAGUUUUGUUUUAUUUUAUUAAUCAGUUGUAACAUGUAUUAGCAAAUAAAAGUCUUAAUAUCAGUCAGUGUGGUACUAGGGUUGGCGGUACGGUGGCUGGUGUGGGACAGUUGGAUGGAUAGAAGGACAGCAGUGUUUUAUUGUCUAUCAGCAUUACAUGAAGUAUCUGUAACAACAUAAACUAUGGGACCCUUUGCUGGUGUGGUUGUUUUACACGUGUCUAACAUGCUGUCCAUGUACUGUGAUGAAUAAAUGACCUUUAGAAAAAU